UCUACGGGGGGCAGCAGUGGGGAAUAUUGGACAAUGGGCGAAAGCCUGAUCCAGCCAUGCCGCGUGUGUGAAGAAGGCCUUCGGGUUGUAAAGCACUUUCAGUGGGGAAGAAAGCCUUGGGGCUAAUACCCUCGAGGAAGGACAUCACCCACAGAAGAAGCACCGGCUAACUCCGUGCCAGCAGCCGCGGUAAUACGGAGGGUGCGAGCGUUAAUCGGAAUUACUGGGCGUAAAGCGCGCGUAGGCGGUCUGAUAAGCCGGUUGUGAAAGCCCCGGGCUCAACCUGGGAACGGCAUCCGGAACUGUCAGGCUAGAGUGCAGGAGAGGAAGGUAGAAUUCCCGGUGUAGCGGUGAAAGGCGUAGAGAUCGGGAGGAAUACCAGUGGCGAAGGCGGCCUUCUGGACUGACACUGACGCUGAGGUGCGAAAGCGUGGGUAGCAAACAGGAUUAGAUACCCUAGUAUC
rnacentral:rRNA from 1 species